CAGAAGCUCGUUCGAUAACACGGGCUAUCAAAAACAUAUCGGAACUCACUAUGUUCGACAUUUGGAUUCUGAUGCUCCAACUCCAGGUUGCAUCCCGAAGAUCAGAAACUGGAACAUAAUCUUUUAGAGAUGUGCGGAAUCUAGCUGGAAGAAACGCAAAGGCGCAGGACCUGUGUCCAACAGGGAUUGCUCUUCGUUGCUCAGAGGAGAGAAGCCAACUUCAAAACAAGAUAAAGCACUCGCGCUGCUCAAAUCCAAGCUCCUGGCGUGGAGAGCUGGCUGCAUGACUGCUCAUUCAACGAGCGCGCUUUAGACGCUACAGAGCUUGAUGGAGGAAGGAGGAUA